UACGUAGGGUGCAAGCGUUGUCCGGAAUUAUUGGGCGUAAAGAGCUCGUAGGCGGUUCGUCGCGUCGGCUGUGAAAUCCCGAGGCUCAACCUCGGGUCUGCAGUCGAUACGGGCGGACUGGAGUUCGGCAGGGGAGACUGGAAUUCCUGGUGUAGCGGUGAAAUGCGCAGAUAUCAGGAGGAACACCGGUGGCGAAGGCGGGUCUCUGGGCCGAUACUGACGCUGAGGAGCGAAAGCAUGGGGGAGCGAACAGG
rnacentral:rRNA from 1 species